rnacentral:rRNA from 1 species
UCGAGGAUCUUCGGCAAUGGGCGCAAGCCUGACCGAGCGACGCCGCGUGAGCGAUGAAGGCCUUCGGGUCGUAAAGCUCUGUCGUGGGGGAGAAAAGGGGCAACCCUUGAUCGACCCCAGGAGGAAGCACGGGCUAAGUUCGUGCCAGCAGCCGCGGUAAGACGAACCGUGCAAACGUUAUUCGGAAUCACUGGGCUUAAAGGGCGCGUAGGCGGGCCGCCAGGUCCGGGGUGAAAGCCUCCAGCUCAACUGGAGAAGUGCCUUGGAUACCGGCGGCCUCGAGGGAGGUAGGGGCGUGCGGAACUUCGGGUGGAGCGGUGAAAUGCGUAGAUAUCCGAAGGAACACCGGUGGCGAAAGCGGCGCGCUGGAUCUCUUCUGACGCUGAGGCGCGAAAGCCAGGGGAGCAAACGG